AAAGGUGGAUUUUUUUUUUUAAAUUUCUAAACGUUUCCAACGGAGGGGCAAACAAACCAAUAAAAACACACAAAUAUUUUUAAACCUACACACAUUUGGCAAUUCCUUGUGUUCCCCCUGCUGAACUGGAGGUCACCUGCUCAUCCCUCCCGACCAUGCAGACUGCCUUGGGCAACAUACUUGCAGCUGCCCCAAAUAUAUUUGUUUACCUUUAUUUAUUCGUUUUUCUUUUUUUUUUAAUUGCACCAUUAUGUACCCCUUUUACCAAUAUCCCCGCCUCUCCCAUUAAUUAAUCUUUACUCCAUGUUCAUCUUUCUUAUUUUCCUUUAAUAAUUCUUAUUUACUAGUUUUUAAAACAUAUUACCCUUUUGUGGACCCCAGUGUACGUUUUCGGGUUUCCCAAAAUUGAUAUACUCCUUGACCCUGACCUACCGUAAGAGCUCUUAAGGUUGUUUAUUCUUUCUUUACCAGGGAUUUAAAAAAAAUGUAAUUGUAUACGCAAGGAAAAUUGAAUUUAUAUUGCUCCGGGCUCAAAUCCCCACGCUCACAAACAACUCAGUAUUUUUCAGUAUAAAAUCACCCCUGCGCCGACGUUCGAUAUGGCUAUCGAUAGCCCGGCCACAACAACCACACUGACAAUCAACAACAAUCCGAAUACGAAAACAAAACAAGAGAAUUGGCAGUGAAGAAAUGGCCUUAAUCCGUAAUCUGGAGUCAGAACCACGGAUUUGACACCCGCAGGACACAUAGGAACUCUCCAAGCGCCCAACGAGGAAAAACGCCCAAUAUGCCCAACGACCCAGUCUGGACUUCGGUGAUUCUUACUCCGGAAGAUCAGCUGUCCUGUUAUACGUGAAAUAUCUGAAACAUAUUCCAGAUUUAUAUUUCUUCUCUCUUCCAGAUACUCUUCGUUGGUCGUUCAUAUCCCCUUGGUGUAGGUCGCCUUCUUCAGACAUCCCUUACUGCUUUAAGUCCUUCACAUGGUACACCCCGCAGAGCUUUCCGCGCAUGUUUUCCACUUCAUACAUAUGAUUACCCACGGGCCUGCGAAUCCUGCACUUGACAAACUUUCUGGCGAAUUUCGCAUUAAAGUUCUUUUCAAAGUCACUUUGUACAAUAUUCCUUCGGAAGAUUUCUUGCCCUGGCUUGAAUGUGAUCUGCCGUGUGGUCCGAUUAUAGUAGCGCGCGCUGGACUCGUGCGCUCUAUGUAUAUUCCUGCGGAUCGACUCGCGCAACAGUUCCAACCUAUCUCCAUGUUCUAGAUGCCGGAUUUUGCAGUCCUCCAACGAGAGCAGCUUUCUUGCCAAUUGGUAAUCAGCCCCACUUGUGAACAUAUGCUGGCCAAACAGUGCAAAAUACGGUGUAGAGCCGGUGGCCUGGUGUAUCGAGCUUCUUAAAGCCGUUUCUAUCUCGGGCAGAUAUAAGUCCCAGUCGCGGUGAUCCUGAUCCAAGUAGGCCCUAAUCACAUUCAGCACCGAUUGGUUCACUCUUUCGGACGCAUUGGACUGAAGAGAAUUAACCGCCGUCCUUACAUGUUUUAUUUGGUAAAGCUGUAUCAUAUCCGCAAACUUCUUUCCCACGAAUUGUUUUCCAUUAUCGGAAUGCAGUAUUUCCGGUACGCCAAACGUGUGGAACACUUCGCUGGUCAAAAACCUUACGACUGCUGCUGCAGUGGCCUCCCUCAUGGCUUUUAAAAAGACGAAUUUCGAAAAAUGGUCUACCACUAGAGUGCGUUUGAAUACAAAGCCGUCCACUACUUUUAAAUCCGGCAAUCUCUCCUGAUUUGCCUCGACCUCCUUUCUCAACUCGGUGUAGUCCGCCGCUAGGACCAUCUUGCCAGCCGCCCACUCAAAUCCUUCAAUGACAUCAGCCAUUUUAGGCUAGAGUGGUCUGUUAUUAUCGUAAGCGGCAUCAACUCUAUAUAUUGCCUGAACCGUUUUACACCAAGACGGCCGCCAUGCACUCCUUUUCGGUAACGCUAUACUUAAUUUGGAAAGAAUUGAGCUUCUGAGAAUAGAAAGCGAUUGGUCUUUCACCGUCAUCCUCUUCUUCCUGGAAUAACACUGCUCCUAUUCCAACAUCUGAAGCAUCACAUUGCACGUAGAACCUUUUAGGGAAGUCCGGAUGCCGUAACACUAGAGCUGAUAUAAGCGCAGUUUUUAAGGCUUCCAUUGCUUCCUUAGCGUCAUUUCGAAUUUUCGACCCUUUUUUAAGGUAUCCGUGAGCGGUGCUGCCAAUUCAGCAAAGUUCCUGAUGAAUCUGCGAUACCAUCCGGCUGUACCCAAAAGGCGUCGUACUUCCUUUGCACUUCUUGGUUCCGGCAUGUUUCGGAUUGCAUCCACUUUACCAGGAUCCGUCCUCAGGACUCCUUUACUUAUGAUAAACCCAAGAUAUCGCAGCUCCUUAAAACAAAAAUGUGAAUUUUUGAGCCCUAUCUUCAAACCUGCUUCUCGGAGACAUAGAGAAACUCUUUUCAACGCUUCUAUAUGCUCGUCGAAUGUAGGAGAUACCACCAGCAAAUCUUCAAGGUAUAAAAACACCUUCUCCCUGAGCGUUUGAGGUAUCACUUUGUCCAUCAAGCGACAUAAACGUUGGGCAGCGUUGGUUAAUCCAAACGGCAUAGCUACGAAUUGGCACAACGGCCGUCCCGGCACUGUAAACGCUGUGUACUUUCUAUGGCUCUCUUCCAACUCUAUCUGCCAAAAUGCAAGCUUUAGGUCGACGCUCGUUAUAAACCUGGUCGUAUCAAUGCGACUCAGUAUGCCCCCUAUAUUUUGCUGCCGAUAUGCAUCCUUUAUGGUUCUCUCAUUCAGCUUCCGGGCAUCUAAGCAGAGUCGAUUUUUACCAGGCUUUCUAACUAGUGUAAUCGUAUUGCUCCAGGCGCUAUCGCUCUCUUCAAUGACCCCUAGGCGCAACAUUUCAUCUACUUUCUCAUAUAUAAGCUUUUGGACAGCAGGAGAUACCGGAUAAUGGCGAUCUUUUACCGGAACUGCCUCCUUUACCAGCUCAAUAGUGCGCUUCAUGUUCUUCCCAAUCCGUGCUCUUCAAAAGACAGAAAUUAUUCUUAAACUUCUUUCAACUGCGACCUUUGGUUGUUACUAAGAUCGUGUGGUUAGGGAUUUAUUCUGUCUGGUACCUCUUGCAUUAGCUUGCUUUCCGUCGUGAGUUCUUCGAGCCCGAAUAUUUCUGGUGCUAUCCCAAAUCCACGCCAAAAAUCGACUCCCAGAUACAGCUCCUGACCCAGAGGACAUAGAAAAAUACUCAUGUUGACAUUGGUACCCUUAUAAUUAACUGGAAUUCGUAUUUUUCCUAAUAUGUUUUGGGAUGAUCCACUUGCAGUUCGCACCUUUGCAUGAUAGGGUUACCAAGGAAUUCCCAUUUUGUGCACUAACUCCUUGCAGCCUUUGCCCAACAAGCUUACGGAUGCGCAAGAAUCCAGUAGCCCACGAAAUUCCUUUCCGGCCAUCUGCACCAAUACAUAUGGGCGCGGAUCUGUUCUGGCUUCUUUUCUGCCCAUGGCCGUAACUGAUCGUUGCACCUGCUGCCGUUCUUGCCGACGUUUCUUAAACCUUUCUCUAGCUUUCUUAACUCUUCUUGUUAUUAAUGUCUUUCCCAUCAGCUGAUUCUUAUAAAAUAUGCGAUCUCGAGCCUCCAUAUACCGGCGCAGGCGUUCCUGCAGUGACAACAAUACCCUGUCAGGAUUGGAUGUUGUUUCCCUGACCGCAGCUUGCUUGCUGUCUUACUGUUUUAGUGCUGCCUCCUCGGAUUUUCCGUAGGCUCUCUCCCGGAACGUAGAUUGCCUGCCACUCCCGCGUUCCGGAGACCGUUUCCCUGGCUGCAUUUGGGGCAUUUUGGAGUAAAUGUGUUUGCCAAUCCACAUUUGUAGCAGAACAGAUUCCGUUGCUCCGCUUCGCACUCCUUAAAACCAUGACCCUUCUGCUGACAGUUCCAGCACACCAUUGGCUUCCUCAUGGACUCGACACCGAUUGCUUCCACAGCUUCCUAUUAUCGUAAUAACGCCGCUCUAUUAUCGCAAUAACGCCGCUCUAAAGCAGUUUAGAGCUCGGACCAGUCCCUCGGCGGCUUUGUGCGGAUCAUUAGCCAGUACCACUCGGAGGCAUCUUCAACCAGAAGGCGAUGGAAAUCUCUUCACAACUCUGGCCACGGCAUGCCGUAGUGUUGUUGAAGGUGUUCUACCCGAAAGAAAAAAUACUCGGCGCUCAUGGUUCCUGUGUUGCCUGCAAAUUGGAAUCCCCAUUUGUCGAGAGGAAUAUAGAAUCUCAAUUGCCCACCCCUUGGCUGCUGUUUGCACCAGGCAUGUUGGGUGCAAAUCGGUUACUAAUAUUGCCUGGUAAAUGUAGCAUCGAUUGAGACACAUUAGAGAUUCCAUUCUGCCCAAGAUUCGGAAAUAAGUUCCUAUAAGCUGGUUGCACGUUGCCGCUAAGCGCCUGCCUUUGUCGUCCUCCUCCUGGUACUUCGGUGUCAGCCGCACUUCCGCCGCCUUCCUGCUGGCUUCUGUCCUCCUGCAUGUUUUGCUGACCGGGCCGACUAAUGAUUGGCCCAAUUCGGCUGUUCGCACUUCCAGCUGAUGAUGAUGAUGCUGGCGAAUUUCCUUUUAACUCCAGCUUUUUCAUCAGUUCAGCGAAUCCGGUCUGCAUACAUUGUUCGAUUCGCACAUCUACCAACUGUUGCAUGUCGACUCUUAAUUGCUCCUGGGACGUCAUAAUUAACAGCUCGAUUUCCCUUCUGUCGCCUGAGCCUGAGUCGUAUUCCGCCGCAGCUUCCGCGCUAUACUGCUCUUGUAUUGGGUCCAACUGAAUAUGCGAGUAGGUUCCAAAAGGAGUACAAGUGUUAUCGAGAUUUAACCCCCUAGGAAUAACUCCCUUUUGUUGCGCGCUUAGACGGUUCCUAUCCCCUGGCCUUCCUUACCCUUGAUCUUGCUCUGUAUUUUCGUUGUCACUCAUUCUGGACAGGUAUUACCACUUCCACCGUCCGAAGCUACUUUCUCUCUAAUCAUUGGAGCAAACGACAUCGGACUACAACUGAAUGUGAUGUGAUUUCGGAUCCUAUUUUGGACGCCGGUUGCUGGAUGAGUAGCUCUUGGAAGGGAAAUAAUCAGAAUUAGCUUCUAAUUUUCCUACACGCAGAAAAAUAGUUGGAAAUAUAUAUGAAUUGGAUAAUA